CCUACGGGUGGCUGCAGUGGGGAAUAUUGCACAAUGGGGGGAACCCUGAUGCAGCGACGCCGCGUGGGUGAAGGAGUAUUUCGGCGCGUAAAGCCCUAUCAGCAGGGAAGAAGAUGACGGUACCUGACCAAGAAGCCCCGGCUAACUACGUGCCAGCAGCCGCGGUAAUACGUAGGGGGCAAGCGUUAUCCGGAUUUACUGGGGGUAAAGGGGGCGGAGACGGCAAUGCAAGUCCGGAGUGAAAGCCCGGGGCCCAACCCGGGGACUGCUCGUGAAACGGCAUGGCUGGAGUGCAGGAGGGGCAGGCGGGAUGCGUGGUGGAGCGGUGAAAUGCGGAGAUAGCAGGAGGAACACCGGCGGCGAAGGCGGCCGGCUGGACCGUAACGGACGUGGAGGCUCGAAAGCGUGGGGAGCAAACAGGAUUAGAUACCCUGGUAGUG
rnacentral:rRNA from 1 species